CGGGACGUGGUGCAGCCUGGAAGCAUUCCGGCGUCGGAAGCCGGAGGUCGCACGUUCAAAUCGUGCCGUCCCGA
rnacentral:tRNA from 1 species